AGGUGCUGACUGAAUUUCUACCUCACGUGGGGUCUGGGUCUGCAUAUAUGCAUAAGGCUUGGAGUUCCCUCCUCUCUUCAUGCUGACGGGUAGCAGGGUCCUUCUCUUCACCACCUCACAACUCACAGCUUCCAUCGGAGUUCUUGCUGAUCUCCUGGAGCUUAGAUCUUAGUCAAUCCUUUCCUGGCAAACCACAAGCUGCAUUCGACAUUUUCAACUAUAGGCAGAUUCGGAAGCCCCCCAAGACAAUCAAACCUCUCAGAAGCUAAAUGUGAACUGCAUUCUAUAUUUGAAAUUUUGGAGGAGCUGAAACAUCAGGCAGAGAGAGCCAAGUGGAAUAUCUGUGGUGGGAGAAAGACGUGGGAAUAUGUGAGCAAAUCUGAUGGUUUUUAUCAUCAGCAUCUGCUGGCCUUCCCUUCCCUCCUGGGUUGUGAAGACAGGAGCUAAACUGGUCGUCGGUUAUCAGCCAUCGCCUUAAUCACGAGAUGAGCACUUGAUUCAGUAGACUGAGUGAAGGAGACUGCCCUUGGCAAUGUGGGAAGGCUUCAUUCACUCCACGGAAGCCGAAGUGGAACACAAAGAUGGAGGAAAGGCGUCUUUGUCUCGUGGAGCUGGGACAUCCAACUUCUGCCUUUGGACAUCUGAGCUUCUGGCUCUGGGGCCUUCCCACUCCAGGACACACACUAGUAACCUCUUGCUGCUGGUGUCUUUGGCCUUGGACUGGGAGUAACACCAUUGGCUCCAUAGGAUUUGAACUCAAUUAUGUCAACGUCUUUGCAGAUUUUCUUCAGCUUUCAAGCUGUGUAUCAUGGGACCUUUUACCUCUAUAAUCAUAGGAACCAAUUCCCAUAAAUUCCCUCUCAAAUAUCUAUUUAAAGAUGCUCCUCAGCCUAUAAUGGGGUUACAUCUCAAUGAACCUAUUUUAAGUUGAAAAUAGAUCAAUGCAUUUAAUACAGCUAACCUAUCAAACAUCAUAGCUUAGCCUAGCGUACCUUAAUUAUGCUUAAAACCUUUAUAUUGGCUUAGAGUUA